GACCCUUUCAUCUAGUGGCCAAGGAUAAUGCCCUUUCACGGCAUAAACGGAAGUUCGAAUCUUUCAAGGGUCGCCA
rnacentral:tRNA from 1 species